GAACUACUCCCUCCGUUCGGAAUUACUUGUCUCGGAAAUGAAUGUAUCUAGAACUAAAAUACGUCUAGAUACAUCCAUUUCUGUGACAAGUAAUUCCGAACGGAGGGAGUACGAG
rfam:Triticum urartu cultivar G1812 contig935311, whole genome shotgun sequence.